AUUGAACGCUGGCGGCAGGCCUAACACAUGCAAGUCGAGCGGAGCGGCGGAAGGGUGAGUAAUGCCUAGGAAUCUGCCUGGUAGUGGGGGAUAACGUCCGGAAACGGGCGCUAAUACCGCAUCCUAUCAGAUGAGAAUAGGUCGGAUUAGCUAGUUGGUGGGGUAACGGCCUACCAAGGAGACGAUCAGUAACUGGUCUGAGCGGAUGAUCAGUCACACUGGAACUGAGACACGGUCCAGACUCCUAAGGUAGGCAGCAGUGGGGAAGAUUGGACAAUGGGCGAAAGCCUGAUCCAGCCAUGCCGCGUGUGUGAAGAAGGUCUUCGGAUUGUAAAGCACUUUAAGUUGGGAGGCGUUACCAACAGAAUAAGCACCGGCUAACUUCGUGCCAGCAGCCGCGGUAAUUC
rnacentral:rRNA from 1 species